AGAUAACUGAUUUCCCUAGAGAACUUUGGUGAGAAUGAAUCGGGGCACAUUCAAGAGGCUUAGUGCCUGGGAUGAGGAAUCAAAGUUCAGUUUGUCUUAAGGUGAUUUUCUGCUGACUUUCAAGUGAAGAAUAUCAAGUUGCAGCCAAAUUUCUACAUUUCUUCAGGUUCCAUUAAGUUGAGUGAAAUCUCUU
rnacentral:lncRNA from 1 species